AGAGGUCGGUUAAGGGAGAGUAAAGGAGAAAUAAAAGAGCAAAGGAAGAAGAAAGAACCGAGAAAAAGAAAAACAAAAAGAAAACCGUGCAUGAGAAAGGAAAACAAAAGGAAAAGAUAGCUGAGUUGAGGAGCUGUUUUUGCUACCAUUCAAGAAGGAAAAGAGAGCCAUUUAAGGGCUGGUUUUGGAGGCUGAAUAGUGCCAUUUUUCUACUAGUUUUGGAGGCUGAAAAGUGCCAUUUUUCUGCUGGUUUUGGAGGUCAAAAGUGCAGAAUUUUGCAGUAGAAAAUUUAAGUUUUGAGGUGUUGUUUUGAUGGUUAAUUGUGACUGUUUUGGUUGCAAAUUUUUUUGAGGGAAAGGUGCAACUUAGCUGUUGAAAUUUUAAGGAAAAACAGAGUAGCAUAGCUGCUGAUUUUGAAGCAAAAAUAAGCAACCUUAGCUGCUGAAAAAUUAAAAGUUGAAAGACAAGAAAGGGUGACCGGUGGUGAAAGGGAGAGAGAGGAAGAGAGUGGGACGAUUUGUGCAUGUGAAGAGAAGAAAAAGGAAGACAACAAGGCUGCUGGACGGUGGGAGAGAAAGAAAGAAAGAAAAGAAAAGAAAAGAAAGGAAAAGAAAAUAACAAGGAAAAUGGGCAUGGCCCAAUAAGUAAGAAAAAUGGACAUGGUUCAAUAAAGGAAAAAUGAACAUGGUCCAAUUAAAAAGAAAUGAGAGAAGUCCAUGAAUAAGAGUCCAAAAACACCAAAGGAAGAAAAAUUCAAAAGAAAAAGAAGGUGGAGAUUUGGGCCAACCUAGUUUAAUUGGGUAAAAUUUCUUUACUCUUCACCAUGAUUUAUUUUGAAAUUGGACUAUAUGAAGGCUAGUUUAUUUUAUUUAAUUAUGCAUUAGUUAGUUAGUGAUAUGAAGUAAAUUUAAGUUGCUUAGAAGGUUGAAAUAGGCACUUAAUACCGUAAAUAAGUUACCAGUGUUAAUAAUCUAAAGAAUUAUGUGAACGAAGGAUGCAAUUAAUUAUAGUAAAAAUAUAUUAAGAUAUGAAUUAGGUGAGUGGAUUUUAUAAUAGAAUGAGAGGAAGGGAAGUGGAAUUAAUGCACUAAAUGUAGUGGAUUUAAAUUGUGCUAGGAAAGUUGAUGUGGAAGCGUGUCGAGCAAAGUAUAUGAUUGGCAAUUAGGAGUAAUUGUACGCGUAUAUAAAGUAAUAGCGACGUAGAAAUCCUGCUAUUGUGAGGUGAGUAACCUUACCAUCAUUUUAAUUAUCUAAAGUAUGUUUUUAAUCGAUUUUGAUGAAAUUUUAUGAAAAUGAAAUUAAAAGGUAAAUCUUGAGUUUUACAAACAAAAUGUGUCUACAUGAAAAGAUUUUAUAAAUUGUUUUAAAAUUGAAUGAUGAUUUUGAAAAAUAGAGUAAUUAGAGACCACUUGUUAUGAAUUAAAUUUAUGAAUUUAAUGGCUUAUGACAGUAUUUGCAUGAAUGGCUGAAUUGGUAUUGGUGUUGAAAUGUAUGAAAUGUGUAUUUAACCUUGAAAGACUGUGAAUUAUAAUAAUUGUCAUGUCACGCUAGAAUGAAUUUUAUUGAUUGGUGGAUUAUAUAUAUUAAUUAAUCACUACAGUAGGGGAUUUCUGUGGAUCAGCCUUUUAGAGGGACACGAUAAACCCCAUUAUAUUCUUACCUCGAACGGAGAGGCGCGUAGGGUAUCUCCUGGGGUAAAGCUUAGGGUUCAUUUCACGCCAAACCACCACAUGAAGGGAAACUCAGCCAACGUCAAGGAACGACUAUGUUUUCUCAAACUAAAAAUAUGUUUUACGUGUAUACGAAAUUUUUAACAGCCUUGGCGGGCUCGAGUGUACGCCUCUGAUCAAGGUGUUAUCGAGUAUAUUUGAUGGCAUGAGCCAACUGUUUAUGAAAGUCAUAAGCCCUAAUGAGAAAUUGAAUGAAAUACAACCGUUUGCAUGGGUUGGGAUAAAUUUUCAAAUUGUGAAAUACUUAAAAAUGAUGAGACAUUUUAAUUGUCACCUUUUACUCGGUUUUAGUUGAUUUAAAUGAUGUUUGUUUACUCACAGGGAUUUUAUAAUCUCACCACCCUCCUUUUCACCAAUUUCAGGCUCCGAGUAGGCUGUAGAUAGCUGAAUCUAU
rnacentral:lncRNA from 1 species